rnacentral:rRNA from 1 species
CGGAAAGUAGUAGCAAUAUUACUUUUAGCGGCGAACGGGUGAGUAAUACUUAUCUUACUUGCCAAUUAGUGGGGGAUAACUAUGGGAAACCAUGGCUAAUACCGCAUUUGUUACUUCGGUAAUGAAAGGGGGUCGCAAGACUUUCGCUAAUUGAUAGGGAUAAGCCGUAUUAGUUAGUUGGUGGGGUAAUGGCCUACCAAGACAGUGAUGCGUAGUCAGCCUGAGAGGGUGAAUGGCCACAAGGGAACUGAGACACGGUCCCUACUCCUACGGGAGGCAGCAGUGAGGAAUUUUCGGCAAUGGGGGAAACCCUGACCGAGCAAUACUACGUGAAGGAAGAAGGUCUACGGA